GCCGGGGUUGCCGAGUGGUAAGGCGCACGCCUGGAGAGCGUGUGGGCUUCGCCCGCGUGGGUUCGAAUCCCACCCCCGGCG
rnacentral:tRNA from 1 species